AUCUUUGCGCUUGGGGCAAUGACGCAGCUAAUGAGGUACUAACCGAGGCGCGUCUAUUGCUGGUUGAAAACUAUUUCCAAACCCCCUCCUGGGCCUAAGCUUGUCUUGGGCCUUCGAGAAUUUCUGGAAGGGCUCCCUUCGGGGUAAAGCC
rfam:Brassica napus, WGS project CCCW01000000 data, contig: 16317